rnacentral:rRNA from 1 species
AUUGAACGCUGGCGGCAUGCUUUACACAUGCAAGUCGAACGGCAGCGCGGGCUUCGGCCUGGCGGCGAGUGGCGAACGGGUGAGUAAUGCAUCGGAACGUGCCCAGUAGUGGGGGAUAGCCCGUCGAAAGCCGGAUUAAUACCGCAUACGACCUGAGGGUGAAAGCGGGGGACCGAAAGGCCUCGCGCUAUUGGGGCGGCCGAUGUCGGAUUAGCUAGUUGGUGGGGUAAAGGCUUACCAAGGCGACGAUCCGUAGCUGGUCUGAGAGGACGACCAGCCACACUGGGACUGAGACACGGCCCAGACUCCUACGGGAGGCAGCAGUGGGGAAUUUUGGACAAUGGGGGCAACCCUGAUCCAGCCAUGCCGCGUGCGGGAAGAAGGCCUUUGGGUUGUAAACCGCUUUUGUUCGGGAAGAAAUCCUCUGGGCUAAUACCCCGGGGGGAUGACGGUACCGGAAGAAUAAGCACCGGCUAACUACGUG